rnacentral:rRNA from 1 species
CCUACGGGUGGCAGCAGUGGGGAAUAUUGCUCAAUGGGGGAAACCCUGAAGCAGCCACGCCGCGUGGAGGAUGAAGGUUUUAGGAUUGUAAACUCCUUUUGUUAGAGGGGUUUAUGACGUUAUCUAACGAAUAAGCACAGGCUAACUCCGUGCCAGCAGCCGCGGUAAUACGGAGGGUGCAAGCGUUAUACGGAAUCACUGGGCGUAAAGAGUGCGUAGGCGGGGUAAUAAGUCAGAUGUGAAAUCCUGUAGCUUAACUACAGAACUGCAUUUGAAACUGUUGCUCUGGAGUGUGGGAGGGGUAGGUGGAAUGCUUGGUGUAGGGGUAAAAUCCAUAGAGAUCA